AGCUCCACCCCUUAGAAUGCGAGGGAAGGAAGAUGAAUGUCCUCACUCUCUCUAACGUCACUUCUAAGCGACGUCAAUUAAUGAUGACUGUACUGGGCUGGAUGACCUCACUGCGCUUCAGGGAUCUGCCGUUAUGUUGUUAGAGCUCGGUUAAUAACAACAUUCUUAAUAAAGCUAAAUGCACUGAUAUUAUGUGAAAUGUCUGGGUUAUGCAACAAUGAAUGAGUGAACAAUACGUAAUUUAUCGCAUGUUUUGUGCAGCUUUGCAUAUCCAAACACGCAAGGAUCAAUUAAUUACAAUACUCAUUCAUGUUAGGAAGUUGGGGUCAGAGCGCAGCGUCAGCCAUGAUACAGCGCCCCUGGAGCAGAGAGGGUUAAGGGCCUUGCUCAAGGGCCCAACAGUGGCAGCUUGGCAGUGCUGGGGCUUGAAACCCUGAUCAGUAACCCAGAGCUUCAAUUGCUAAGCCACCAAUGCCCCACUUCUGAUACAUCCUAUUGAACUCUCUGUGUCUUCAUCCCUUCUUUCCUCAAUCUUUGAAACUGAUAUAGGCAGAAGACAUGGUACUGAUCAUUUUUAAAUAUUGAAAAUAAUAUAUCACUUCAAAAUAAGAAAUAUUACUACAAUUAGAAAGAGUUCAUACAUAUUAUACCUGUGUCACCUGUAACACUAUAGCUGUGAUCAGCAGCAAUGUGCUCUAUGUUUAUAGGUCCAGGGGUGGUGGGCAUUGCAUGUGGUCUCAAUCUUGACCUUUUUGUUCCUGACAAACUGGUCUGCCUCAAAAUGUGCCUGCAGAGUGACUUGAGUUUACUUCCCAACUCCUUUUUGUCUACCCACAUACUGUACAUAUCCCAUAGUGGUUAAAUGCACAGUAUUAGGGAACAAUUCAUACAUAGUUAAAAGACAACAUGAGACAAUGGCCCGAAGACUGCAGUAAGACAGUACCGUCACCAUGAGUCUCAGCUCAAGUCUUUUGCUGUUCCUUAUUUUUUUAAUAAACCUAAUAUUAAACUUC